GGAUUAGAUACCCUGGUAGUCCACGCCGUAAACGAUGAGAACUAGGUGUUGGGGGCCCGUCCCUUGGUACCGCAGCUAACGCAUUAAGUUCUCCGCCUGGGGAGUACGGCCGCAAGGCUAAAACUCAAAGGAAUUGACGGGGGCCCGCACAAGCGGUGGAGCAUGUGGUUUAAUUCGAUGCAACGCGAAAAACCUUACCUACCCUUGAAAUCUUCGGAAUCUUGUAGGAAUACAAGAGUGCCUUCGGGAACCGAAUGACAGGUGUUGCAUGGCUGUCGUCAGCUCGUGCCG
rnacentral:rRNA from 1 species